rnacentral:rRNA from 1 species
GACGAACGCUGGCGGCGUGCUUAACACAUGCAAGUCGAACGCUGAAGCUCAGCUUUUGUUGGGUGGAUGAGUGGCGAACGGGUGAGUAACACGUGAGUAACCUGCCUCCUUCUUUGGGAUAACGCCCGGAAACGGGUGCUAAUACUGGAUAUUCACUGGUCUUCGCAUGGGGGUUGGUGGAAAGGGUUUUUCUGGUGGGGGAUGGGCUCGCGGCCUAUCAGCUUGUUGGUGGGGUGAUGGCCUACCAAGGCUUUGACGGGUAGCCGGCCUGAGAGGAUGACCGGUCACAUUGGGACUGAGAUACGGCCCAGACUCCUACGGGAGGCAGCAGUGGGGAAUAUUGCACAAUGGGCGCAAGCCUGAUGCAGCGACGCCGCGUGAGGGAUGGAGGCCUUCGGGUUGUGAACCUCUUUCGCUCAUGGUCAAGCCGCAACAAUGGUUGUGGUGAGGGUAGUGGGUAAAGAAGCGCCGGCUAACUACGUG